rnacentral:rRNA from 1 species
UCGGGAAUAUUGCGCAAUGGAGGAAACUCUGACGCAGUGACGCCGCGUAUAGGAAGAAGGUUUUCGGAUUGUAAACUAUUGUCGUUAGGGAAGAGAAAGGACAGUACCUAAGGAGGAAGCUCCGGCUAACUACGUGCCAGCAGCCGCGUAAUACGUAGGGAGCGAGCGUUAUCCGGAAUUAUUGGGUGUAAAGGGUGCGUAGACGGGAGAACAAGUUAGUUGUGAAAUACCUCGGCUCAACUGAGGAACUGCAACUAAAACUGUACUUCUUGAGUGCAGGAGAGGUAAGUGGAAUUCCUAGUGUAGCGGUGAAAUGCGUAGAUAUUAGGAGGAACACCAGUGGCGAAGGCGACUUACUGGACUGUAACUGACGUUGAGGCACGAAAGCAUGGGUAGCAAACAGGAUUAGAUACC